AGGCACCUGCACGGGUGCUGCAUGGCUGUCGUCAGCUCGUGUCGUGAGAUGUUGGGUUAAGUCCCGCAACGAGCGCAACCCUUAUCCCUAGUUGCCAUCAGGUAAAGCUGGGAACUCUGGGGAGACUGCCGGUGAUAAACCGGAGGAAGGCGGGGAUGACGUCAAGUCCUCAUGGCCCUUACAUCCCGGGCUACACACGUGCUACAAUGGCAGGUACAGAGGGCUGCGAAGCCGCGAGGUGGAGCGAAUCCCAGAAAACCUGUCUCAGUCCGGAUUGAAGUCUGCAACUCGACUUCAUGAAGGCGGAAUCGCUAGUAACCGCGAAUCAGCAGGUCGCGGUGAAUACGUUCCCGGGCCUU
rnacentral:rRNA from 1 species